rnacentral:tRNA from 1 species
GCACCGGUAACUCAGCGGUAGAGUACUGCUCUUAUAAAGCAGGAGUCGGUGGUUCGAAUCCACCCCGGUGCACAA